rnacentral:lncRNA from 1 species
GCGAUAAAGCUAGUAACUUAUUGUCGUAAUAUUAUUCUUGUCAUGCGCACAUGAGCCUCGAAGGGAGGGCUAGACGGACAGCGAAGGUCAUUCAUUUACCAGAUAUAUUGAGAGAAGAACGUUAUAUGGAGGGAGAUAUAAUCAAGACACCUCACAUAUAAGCUGCGCCUUGUAUGAGGAGAGACUAGUCCACGGCGGGUGGUGGUAGUCUCAACAUGCAGGGUAAAGGUUGAGUUAGAUGUCACAGAUAAUGAUGUCUAGUCUCACUACUCAUUCUGUAAAACCUCAGUCAUGUUUAGCAAUGAUACCUGUAAGACUGGCCAGGAGUUGAAGCACUUGCUGUUUUAAAUAACUAGUACCAGACCUGUUAUUAUGUGAAGAUUGGACAAGAUGGACAAUAACACUCCUUAUCUGUGACCUGUUCUCCUCAGCAGUCUGUGCUGCCACGAUGCCAUAGCAAAUGCCGGCCCAUACCAUUACACUACCUCCACCAUUAGCCACCCGUCGAAGGACAUUAGCGUCGACAAAACGCUCACCAACACGGUGCCAAACACGGCAUCUGCCAUCAGCGUGGUGCAGCUGGAACCGGGAUUCAUCACUGAAGAGCACUGUCCUCCACCGUGCAAGUGUCCAGCGCACAUUGGCCCAAUUCAAUUGGGUCCGACGUCGGACCGCUGUUAGGUCGAGGCCCUGGUGUGGACGACGUGCUUGAAGUCCAGCCUCCUGCAGACAGUUCCUUACUGUCUGGGCUGAAAUACGCCUGUUUUGACGACCAACAGUCUCAUCAACAGUCCUGGUUGCUGGUGAUUGAGUUCCUGUACUCAACUUUUUGGUAAUAUAGUGAUUGGCCGGUCAAAGGGCAACUUGGGUCUUAAAGUUUUCCUCUGCGUGUGUUCCCAUAUUCUGCUGCAUAUUGGUGACGUAGAUGAUUCCCUUCCAUGCAUUUUAAAGAUUUAUAGUGCUGUUGGUUGAUAGCAUUACUGGAAUUGUAGCCCAAUUUGAAAAAAAUAAUUCAAAUUCUUUUCUUAAAAUUUAUCGUCUAUGGUUACUCUAGGUCUGGCAAGUCUUCCUCCUCUGAUGUGCCUGUUUGGCAUAGGUUAGCACUGGGCAAGAUGCUACUCCACAGCCCAGCAGCCUCUGAGUCCCUGCUGUCUGAGUCGUCUCCAUUUGGAUGUCAGUUGGGUGUUACAGGGGUCGUGGCAGUAGUGUCCACUUACCACAGCAUGUGCUCUUUCUUUCUCUCUCGCUUAUUCUCUCCCAGCUUCUUUCUCUACUGUUUUUCUUUGUCUUCUACCUGGUGAUUGCUGAAAUGACACUUAGCUGUUAUUUGUACAAUUAGUCCGCUGGGGCCUUGUAGUACUUUGUUCAUUUAUUGUGUCAGCUGGCUCAAUUUUUUUGCUGCAUUUUGACAAACAAAUUAUUUACCUCCAGAUGGCAGAUCUGCAGAACUUGGACUUUGUAUCCUCUCUGUAGCAGUAAUAUGUCUUACUGCAAAGACCAACGAUACUGUUACCAAUCCACUCUGCUUUAAAUAAUCUGGGGUACGUUUUCAGGCGUAUCAGUAACCAUAGAUGUUUUUCUGCUUUGUACGCUUCCUCAUAUGAGGUUUAAUUAAGUAUUUUAAGCUAUCCACCGAAAAGGCAAUGUAAGCGGAAUCUGUGUCCAUUUCACAAUUUUGGACAGAUCCACAAAUUUUUGCAUGACUUGGUGUCAUGGUACUUUUCUUUGUUGGUGACUGUUUUACCGUCGCCGGAAUUACCAAUGAGUUUCAUGGUGUCGGCCACGAUGGCCUUGGACUUGUCCCUGUCUCUCUUGCUGUGAGCGUCACUCAGGGCGUUUCUGAAGUGCUCAAAAGAGGAUUGUGGUGUGUAUUCGACUACCUGGUAGAUAUGAGAGAUGCGAAGACCGUUUUCCAUGUACCAUUUCAAAAGGGGUGUGGCCAGUAAUAUAAAAAAACUCCCAAUCAACAAUGUUCUUCAGAUGCUCAUAAUAAUUGGUUCCUAUGUGAAGAGUAGCCAAUAUUGUCUGAAAAACAUGUUGGUUUAGGAUUUCUCUUUUUAGCACCUUGAGCACAGCAUGUUUGCAGUGGUAAGAUACCAAGAAUUAACAAACAUCAUCCGUAUAUUUUGCCAAAAUAUGCACAGGUACCAGCGUCUGGAUUUCAUUUUGUAGGAAUGCUUAGCCACAAUGCAAUCAUGGAGGUCUACUCGCUUUGCGCUUUGUCAUAUCUUCUGACGCCGUUCAUCAGAUGAAUACCAUGUAACGUGGAUAGAGUGGUGACAGCCCUGUGCCUUGAGGACAUCUUGGUCUGAAGUAGAUUAGAAGCUCUUGCCUUGAGAAGUUUGUUCCUGAUGGGAGGGUAUCAGGUACUGAGCCUCGCCUGGGAGGGCGGGGCCAGGUGUAGGAGGUUUGCAGGAAAGCAUUGUAAGUAUAUUAUGCUGAAAACCUGGAAGGCGCAUUGCCAAUGAUAGGGCAAUAUGGGGGGAUUUCUUUUCUCUGCGAGGGGCAUGGUAAAAGAUACCUGCCCAUCAUCGUUGACCUUUGGCUGGGGAAUUACAGAAAGGUGGGAGGAAGUAGGGAUUUCAUGGGCAUUUUCUUUAAGGGUUUCCAUAACAGUAAAUUGAUGUUAUUCUUAAGAAUGGACAGAUUGAUUCUUAAUUCUGUCCAAUAAGAGUAGGAUUUCAUCAUAUUUGCUGCACCCACUGCACUGUCUGUGUAAUGACAUAUCAAUUUUAGUUGUUUUUGUUUAUUAAUUUAAUCCAGGCAUGUUCUUUUCAAUUCUCACACCCCUUGCUCGAUUUUUUCUCUCUCUUGUCACUAUGUUAUUUGAAUUAAUAUACAAGGUUUACAAUUGGUUCCCAAGUAUUUCUGCUAUAAGGGAACGCCUUCCACUUAAAAAGGUACUUGUCUCUUGCUGGAGGUGCUGGGCCACCCCUGUUCAUUCCUUUGGUUGCUGGGAGAUUUCCCAUACCUAUGGUUUGGCGCAUUCUUUAUCAGGACACACUGCACGCCAAGCUGGGGCUAGUACUGAAUUGUCAGUACUGCUCUCAGUUCUUACUACCUCGGGACAUAUGUAACCCAUUUGUCUAAUUGUGUCUAAGAAAUAUUUACAUAUGAUUGAACUCUUAUGGUUUGUGUGGUUAUACUUUAACCAAAUAAUUCUCCUGGAAAACCCAUCAAUGCAACCAUAUACUUCAAAAUCAUGGCAUAGUCUCUGUCAGCUAUCUUUUUAUGCCAAGUAUCUGGCACUGGAGCAGGUAACCUUUAAAGAAAAAAAAUUGUGAUGAUGUACCAAAGAAAUGGUACUACUCUGUUCAUGCUUCUGUAGAUGACCAUCUUUUUUGCCAACAAGGUGUCAGCAACACCAAUUUCUGCCAGUGAUUUUGAGUUUCCUGUUCUGUCUCUGUACUGCUGCCCUUGGCCACUGCUACUAUUUCUACUCUCAGGAUAAAUAGGUAUCUCAUGGAUGCCCUCUUCAAUAUUCCUGCAACAAAAUCAUUAUGGUGUUCUAGCUGAAUUUGCAGUGUGUGUGUCCCUUCUUUUUAUAUGGCAGUAUGCUGUGAAAAGUUUUUCGCCUUCUAGUUGUCUAACAAAUGGUUACUUCUUUUGCAUAAUAUUUACCUGUAAAAGCUAAUUGAUUCUUUUUUAUUUACCUCUCUUCCAGUGUUUUUCUGUCUUUGAUUUCACAUUCUCCCUAGUAACUUGUGCACUUUCUCUUAUGUUAUGUGUGGGUCACCCAAAAGAGACUGUUCAAUAGUAAACAGUUAGUCACGGAUAAUCCAUCACAUUCAUACAUUGAACGAAAAAAUUAAUUCUUAUGUCCUUUAUUAGUUCCCCAUCUUCAGUUAAAGAAAAAGUUUAUUCUGCACGUCUUACUACUAUUUAUUCUUAGCUAUGUAGUCACCUUAAAAAGUCUUCUUCAGUGUAUACACUUACAAAGAAGUAUUCUCAUAUAUAAUACAAGGUAGUACAGCUAUAAAACAAGCAUACUCUUUGCUUGACCAAGCCCUACACUUUAAGAUAUCUUUGGAAAUUAUAUUCCAUGCACAGUGUAAGUUGGUCGAAGCACAAACAAUUACUAGGCUGUCUGAUUUUCUGCUGUCUAACAAAGCCAUGUUGCCAUAGAAACAGCGACGUGCAGUGAACUGCGUGUGAUAAUGUGCCAGAGCUAUGUGUCAAUCAAUUUUAAUUAAAAAAGUUAUCGCAUGUAUAAUAAAAACUGACCAUAGUUGUCAGUAUCUUAUGUAUCCUCCCUCUACUUGGAUACAUUCUUAGCACUUUCUACUCUGUCGUGGUACGCAAAUUUAUGAAUAACCAUCAUAGCUUUAAUUGUGGGACUGGGCCCAUAUCUGUCUAAUAGUGACCUUUGCACAGUUUGAAAGUUAGAUUUGUCCAUUAAGAUUAAAAAGAUGAAUCGUUAGAGCUAGAUCCUGAGGGUGCUGGUCUGUUGGGUACAUGAGGUGGUCGUAUUGUGGUGUUGGUGGCCAUAGUGGCAACGGGAGGCGUCUGUAUAUUGGAGUUAGAUCAGCCAUAGUGAGGAAUGCUAUUUGAGGACACUUACUCAUUCCAGUUCCAGUCAGAUGGGGAUUGGGCACUGGGUCACCAAGGAUGAUGAUAACCCUCUGGCUCUGGUAGGUUGGUGUUCUUGUUUGGUUUAACAAUAUGGCCAGGAAGAAGCAGACCUCACCAGGGUAUCUGCCUGAUGGCUGAAUGCCUUGGCAGUGGCGAAAUUGAAGUUGGCGAUCAGUGCCUGGUUGCACAGGAGCUUGGGCAGGGCUUUCAGGUUAUGUUGGCAUCUUGGUAGUUGUGGAUUUUAUUUUAUCAAAUUGGGUGCUCAGGGCGUUCAGUGUCACCAUGGCUGAAGAGGGCUGAAUUGGGUCUCAGCUUGGCAGGCAUGCUGGACGAGGUGCUCAAAUGUCUGCAGAGCAUGUUAAGCUACAAACGGCCUGAUUUCAGGUAAAACCCCAUGCAGGAUUGCCUGAAUGGUAUGUUCAGUAUGGAGCUGGACUUUCGUGGCCUCGCAUCUCAUUUCAGCAAUGUAGCCUUGAAUUGGCUGGUCUGGUUUCGGAGUCUUGUGAAAUAAUUUCGAGACCAUAACCCAUCUGGGGUUCUCCGUUGGUUUAAAGCUCUCCUUAAGGAGUCUAUGGUGCCUUUUUGUUGAUCUGACAGCCUGUCAAACCAAUCCUGGGCCACAUUUCUCAGCAACAGUGAGUAGGAAGCAAGUUGCUGCGCCUCAUUCAUGUUGCGAUAGGUGGUAUAAUUUUCAGAUGCCACAGCCACCUGCCUGGGUCUUCUUGAGGGGUUCCAUUGACCUUACCUGACAAAAGGAACUACGCGGUAUAUAGAAGAGGGGUUUUCACUUUAAACCUUAUGUUAGCCCAUGACAGUAGCCUUUCCUUGUGAUUUUGGUGCUCUUUGAAUGCAUGGCAUAAUAACUUCUUAACAUUGCCCUAUACCCUUAUACAAUGUUAUUGUAUGCUGACAAACAGUGAUGUCGGGUGCCUUGCAUGUAUUGCUUUGUGCGUUGUUGAUGUGGACAUAUUUUCGGUGUUGCUUUGUACCUUACAGUGUCAUUAUUUACCUAUGACAGUUAAGACAACUUGUGUGUAUUUUAAACAAUAGUGUUUCUUCACACAAUAUUUUCUUGGCCAGUAUAGGUGAUCUUUCCAUUGAGAAUUUUUCAU